rnacentral:lncRNA from 1 species
CCUUAUUUUUAUCUUUAUAUAAUUUCAAAAAUACAAAAAUAGUUUCAUGUUUAGUUUAAUUAAUUAGUAUUAGCUUUGGCAUUCUAUAGUAUUUCUAUCAUAAUUUAAUAGGCAUUGUGUAGUAUAGGAACCUUUCUAGACUCUUCUUUGGAAUAAAAACAAAUAAAAAAGACCUUAUGGACUUAACACAAAAGACUAGGGACUAAUUGGCAAAUUACACAAAAAUAAACCAAAACCUAGACUUUACCUAUAAAAAAACAAAAUAAUGCCUAAAAAUGGGGAGGCUAGCAUAGCUUUUAAAAAAAAAAAACCCCUCCCCCCGCCCCCAACUUCCUCUUUUCCAACGAAGAUCUUUCCAAACGCCCUCCCUUUCUUGGAAAAAUGACCUUCCCAUCACGAUCUCAUCUUCUUUAGCGAGGAGCUCACAAACUGGUAACCCAAUCACGCAAACACUGGCGGAGCUCAUCGAUGAAGGCAGGUCGAGAUUCGAGUUUGCGAUCCCGGUCAGAAGUUCGAUGAGGUUUCUGGCAAAUUUUCUGACUUAGAUCUUGUCCGCCGUCCAGUUCAUUCCGUCGAUUUAGCAUUUUCAGAUUAUAUGUCAAUCAAAUUUUAGGUGACUCGAUGUUUAUUUUCCCCUUUCUCUUGUUAUGUUAGCUUAAUUUCAUGAUUCUAGAGUUUUUAAAUCUAUUUUGAUCUUAUAUUUUGCCUCUUUCAUUUGUGAUGUUUGUUUGGUUUAAAUGCUGAAUCACGUUUGAAGUUUUAAGAGCUUUAAGUAGCUGCUUCUUUCUAUUAUUUGUCAUAUUAUGUUGUUUCUUUUUUAGUUGUGGUUUGUGUAGAUUCAUACUAUUGUGAUUUGCCCGUUUGUAUGAGUUGAAGUGACAGAUUUAUAUAUUCGUUUGGUUGACUCCUCUUCGGCUACUGUCAAUGUUUCGUAGAUUACUCAUGGGUACAAUACUAGUUUCC